UCUCAUGUCUGUAAACUGGAGGUAAUGAC
rnacentral:piRNA from 1 species